rnacentral:tRNA from 1 species
GGGCCGGUGGCGCAGUCUGGCUAGCGCGUCGGCCUCUUAAGCCGGAAAUCGGGGGUUCAAAUCCCUCCCGGCCCGCCA